rnacentral:rRNA from 1 species
CCUACGGGUGGCAGCAGUGAGGAAUAUUGGUCAAUGGUCGGGAGACUGAACCAGCCAAGCCGCGUGAGGGAUGAAGGUACAGAGUAUCGUAAACCUCUUUUGUCAGGGAACAAAGGCGGGGACGUGUCCCCGGAUGAGUGUACCUGAAGAAAAAGCAUCGGCUAACUCCGUGCCAGCAGCCGCGGUAAUACGGAGGAUGCGAGCGUUAUCCGGAUUUAUUGGGUUUAAAGGGUGCGUAGGCGGGUUAUCAAGUCAGCGGUAAAUCGUGGAGGUAAACUCCAUCCAGCCGUUGAAACUGAUGAUCUUGAGUGGGCGAGAAGUAUGCGGAAUGCGUGGUGUAGCGGUGAAAUGCAUAGAUAUCACGCAGAACUCCGAUUGCGAAGGCAGCAUACCGGCGCCCGACUGACGCUGAAGCACGAAAGCGUGGGUAUCGAACAGGAUUAGAUACCCUAGUAGUC